GAGGGUAUAGCUCAGUGGCAGAGCACAUGCUUAGCUUGCGCGAGGUCCUGGGUUCACUCCCCAGUACCUCCU
rnacentral:tRNA from 1 species